UCUUGCCCCGAACCCCCAGACGAGUGGUAUUUUUAGUUGUGGAGUGAAUGAUUCUGUUAAGGAUCAAACUUUUGGUAUCCGCAGCUUCGAUGAAGGUUCUUCUCCGGUCAGGUACCUUGGUGUCCCUUUGAUAUCCUUCCGGCUUGUGAUAUUCUUUAGCAUAUGUUUUUCAAGAAAAGUAUAGUUUGAAGAG